ACCCACGACAAAUCUUACCACUUCUUGCAUAAUAAUAAUAUAUAUAUUGAUAUCCAUUAUUUAUUUUAUUAAAAUUAAGGAGGAUUCGGUUACGUUCCUUUAUUUAUUAUUAAAGAAAGUAAUAAAUAUAGAUAAAUAUAAUAAAUAAAGAUAUUAUAUUAUAUAUAUAUAUAUCUAUUACAGGUGUUGCAUGGCUGUCUUUAGUUCGUGUUGUGAAAUGUAAGGUUCAUUCCGAUAACGAACGCAACCCUUAUCUUUAAUUAAAAGAAAUAGUUUAAAGAAGUAUCUUUUGAUAAAAAAGAAUAAUUAGGAUGAAGACAAGUCCUCAUGACCCUUAUGGAGUGGGCUACAGACGUGCCACAAAAAUUUCUACAAAAGGAAGCAAAGAUCUAAGUCCGAGCGAAUCCUUAAAAGAA
rnacentral:rRNA from 1 species